GGGGACCCCCACAUCCCGCACUGCCGCGCCCCAGCCCCAUGCCUGCGGUCCCCAGACUCCUGCCUCCGCCUCCGGACGACUCCGGGACAGCUCAGGGAAGGGACACAAAGCGCCUGGCCCGGCCACCUGUUCCCCCGCCCGGCGCCGGGCCGCCCUCCCGCUCCUCCCACUGCCUGCGGCGGCCACUCACCCGGCCCCGCACCUCUCGCUCCGAGCGCCCUGAUCCCCGCGGCGGGUCCGGAUCCGGGGGAGCUCCGAGUGGCCUCCGCUCCGUGAGUCGGGCGCAGCUCGGCCCCGCGGGGACACAGCCACCACCUCUUCAGCGCCCUCCUCCUCCGCUGCGCUCGCGGCUCCUCCCGGUCCGCGCUCCCGCCCGGCCGCGCGCACCCCGCACACACCCACUCGCCCGCACCGAGCGCGCGCCCCACCUGUGACUCGGCGCCCGGCUGCCCUCUGCCGCCCGCUUCGAAGAAGCCGGAGGCUUUCGUCCCCCAGAGUGUGAACCCAAGGAUCCGUGUGGGCCAGACGACGUGCUUCGCGUCAGGAAAACCACAAAAAAAUACAGCAGGUUUCAAACAGAAAUCAAUAAAGUCCUGCCCCGGGAGACGCCCACACCCUGAUGGAAACGAUAGCAAAUAAAUAGCUUAUAAAUGA
rnacentral:lncRNA from 1 species